AAGUAUGAUAUCUAAACAGUCUUACUCAAAGGCUGCAAUGUAUUCUUUUUACCUCUCUUAGAAAGUGAAAUACAAGUCGGCGUUGCUUGGGGAAUUGUGUUUGUAGUAUCAAGUGCCUAGCUGGUCUGGGACUUUUAAGAAAUGUCUUUAAGUUAGCAACCUAACUUAGCCCAAUCUUUGGCAUAAGUAAAAGAAUAAUAUACAUACUGUAUUUUUUUGUGGUUUGACAUCUUGGCUUUCAUUAUUUGAAAUAAUAUGCUUACUGUUGGUUACUGCAGGUUGCCGCUGUAGCUCAACGUUAAUCACACACUAAAAAUGUCGUUCUGUUGUUGCUCCUCGAACAGUUAUCUCAGGCAAACAGGGGUCUACAUGAACCAUAAUCAUAUCCUUUGACCCAAAUUGUCUGCUAACUUCUCUUGGUGAUUCACAGUAACACACAACAGGUGCUAAUCUGCCUGGGGCAAAAACGUGCAAAACAGAUUUGAGACAACAGUUUCAAGUCUUACAGAUGAGAAAACUGAGCAACAGGAGCCAGCGAAGUCUUUUGUCUGCAGCCCUCAGGCUGGGUGCCGUGAGUGGAGAGCCGAAUACUCCUUUUGGUCUCUUGACCUUGGAGUAAUGUUUCUUCCUGUUGAUGGAACAGUCGGCACCACAUCUUAAACUUGGACAAUCAAAUCUAGCCUUCGUGUCAAUGUAAUCAAUUCAAAACAACAACAAAGAAGUGGAAUUUUAGGAGAGAUAUGUGGUUAUGUUUUAUAUAGAUAAACCCUGAAGGGAGUGUGUGUGUGUGAGCACUCUUGUAUGCUGCUGAACAUGUCUCUAGCCUUGAGACAGAAUUAUUUCUUGCUUAGACAGCAUUCUAUGAGUUACUUUAUUGAGCUUUGCCCUGUGGAGAGACUGAGUGAUUGACCAAUGAAUGACCGGGAGUAGGAAUGAAGGGUCGCCUCCCUUCAUGUGAAAGGUCAUAAUUUAGCUGGGAACAGAGGCUUACCUCAACCCUCAGAGAGGGUCUACACCUCAGCUCAGCUUUCCAUAGGACAAGUACCUUUUCCUACCCGCAUGGAGGGGCUGCAGCUAAACCUGACUUUACACCAAGUGUUCACCAACUGCUAGCACCUGGCAUUCCCAAAUAGCUCCCUGCACAGCAGGUGCCUGGUCCAGGAGCCACCUGCAAAUCUGCUCUCACUCUUGUCUUAUAGAAAGGGAAAGCAACAGGUGGGUGUAGAGUUUCUCUCUGCAGCAUACCUCCAGAGUGGCCCAACAUGGGCCCAACUGUGCUGGGCCAGGCACCCUCUCUGCACGGAGACACAGGCACCUGCUGACCCUUCUCCUUUGAGUUCCAGUCUGCACCAUGUGGCAUUGCUAGUGUUUGACCAAGGCCUUUGCACAACGUGCCCGUUCCAGGCAGUAGAGUCUUGAUUCUCAGUCAGGUCCUCAGUCCUGGCAUCUAUAUAUAGCAGUAGUGGGAAGGUUUUGUUUGCUUUGGUUGAGAACUCUUUGAAGUUGAUAAAGGAACUAUUAAGUGUAAAACUCCGAAGUGCGCAUUUUACAGGACAUCAACAUAAGUGUAGUAUACAUUUAACUAACAUUUAAUCUAUCUAUCCAUCUAUCUAUAUAUCUAUGUACACACAGUCUUGCGUCACUUAACAAUGGGGACAUAUUCUGGAAAAUGCAUCAUUAGGCAAUUUUGUGGUCAUGUGAACAUCAUAGACUGUUCUUACACAAACCUAGAUGGCACAGCCUACUAUACACCUAG
rnacentral:lncRNA from 1 species